rnacentral:rRNA from 1 species
CAGUCGCCGCGGUAAUACGAAGGGUCCAAGCGUUAAUCGGAAUUACUGGGCGUAAAGCGUGCGCAGGCGGUUCGUUAAGACAGAUGUGAAAUCCCCGGGCUUAACCUGGGAACUGCAUUUGUGACUGGCGAGCUAGAGUAUGGCAGAGGGGGGUAGAAUUCCACGUGUAGCAGUGAAAUGCGUAGAGAUGUGGAGGAAUACCGAUGGCGAAGGCAGCCCCCUGGGCCAAUACUGACGCUCGUGCACGAAAGCGUGGGGAGCAAACAGGAUUAGAGACCCCCGUAGUCCCUGUCUCUUAUAC